CUAUUCCCCCAUCGUUUUGGCCUUCAUCCUAAGCGAGGGACGCACCCACAGCAGCUAGGGUUCCAACCACCGCCGUCCUUUGCCCUCGACUGCCUCCCCUGUUCCCUCGGUUCGUUCAAGAGCCUCAGCCAAGCCAUCCUCCCUCGCCACUUUCUCCGCGCGUCGGGGACACACUGGACAUCGUCGCCCAUCCUCCUUGCGUUGGGGAACGCGUCGCCGCCGUCGUUUCAUGCGCAUGACCGGAGAUGCAGACGCCGGCGUUGUUUCUCCACAGUCCACACAGCAAGGAACCGAUGCCCUCGUCUUCCAACUGCAGUAGUUCAGCAGGUCCUAUUCUGCUCUCCCGCAUCUGUAUUUGUACUCUGUCAAGUAAUAUUGCCCACUGUCCUCGCCCAUCUUUGUUUUUCCUUGCCGGCCGCAUCUUACAAGCUACAACACCAAUGGACCACAUCCUCAUUGAGGCCUGUCCCUGCAUGCGUAGCUGCAUAUGCUGAUUUCAAACCUACUAAGAUUUCCUAUUUUAGCGCGCAUCACUGAAGGGGACAGUUUAACUGACCCACAAGUUUCUUGUUGAAAUAAAUGUGGGAUUCUUCUACCCAAACGUUGAACAAGAGAUGAUUUCUGCAGAGAGAGAAGUUGAGAACGUGCAAGGUUUGCAAAGGAUAUGACCAUAAUUUCGUGAUCAACCAAAAAGGCAUCUAUUCCUCAUCCCUUGAUCUCCCAGCUAGAGUUGAGCUAUGUGUGUGCAUCAACCGUUACUGAUUUUGUUGCUGCUUGUGGCCCGAGUCUUAUCUCUGCUUGGGGUGGAGCUGCAAGAUCGGACGGAAACCAGCCUUCUUAUGGUAGGAUCAGUCUCGUAUGUUCUUUCCCCCACAGCUAAUCAAUUAUUUUGUGAUGUCCUGUCUUGUAUACUAAUUAUGGCAUGCUCUUGUCUAUACUAAUUAGAUCACGCAUUCCUUCAAGGUGAAGUCAGGGGCUCAGGGUAGACAGUUCAUAGUUUUCUUGCUCUUUCCCCUUUCUGUUUGUUAGUUCAUUAUGCACGUCUUUUUCUAUGCAUGUGUUGAUAACUCCAGUUGUUCCAAUCUGAUGAUGCUUUUUUUCGUUGUGCUGCUUCUGCAAGUUGUGAGAAUUUUAUUCAUGGAUCAGGAAAUUCUAAUGUGUGACUUUGUAGUACUCAGGUAACAACGACAUUUUGUCUAAUGUAUAUUAUUUACAGAUUUUUUGAUUUGUUGGCACUAAUAAGAUUUCUCCUAAUACACCAUAGCAAGCAUGACUAAUAAGUCGUCCCAAGAAUCGGUAGUACAGGAGUGAUGUGACCCAAAGCUAACUAGUGCAGAGACCAUUGGAAAAUGGAAAUAUUCAAUUAUGUAUAGUUGGUAUAACUGGUUACCUAGAAUACUUAUCAUUUAGCCGGUUGCUGAAUUCAUCUCACUAUUACUAUAAUAUAUUUUUUGGAGAUAAUUUUUUGUAGUAAAUACAAGCUGAUGAUUGUUCACAAUGAAUAGCCAUCCGAUUGGUCAAAGGUACUCGGUGUUUCAAUACGUAGUUUUUUAUCUUAACGAGCCAUAGUUAUUCAGAACACGUGCACGACAAUUAAGAGAAAUAUAAUGGCCUCAGUUUACAAAGUAAGGGUGAAGACUCAAAGUCCCUCUGUUUGUACUACAUAGCAUGGCAAUGACCCUUUCGCUAGUGUGUAUUUUUAUUAUUUCUUUACAGAGCGAUGCUAUAGAUGAUGCAAGUAUCUGCACUUUGCACUUCUGCAUUUUGGUCUUUUUUAUAGAAAAUGGACUGGAACAAUAAAACUAUAUAAUGAUAGUUCAUAUAAUAUUGAAUUGACGCGAGAUGCAAAAAAAAACAAUUAGUACACGGAUAUAGGUCGCAUAAUCUACAAUGUUGUUUAAUAAUUGUUGUAGAUGUUUUUACAAUCAGAUUAUUAAUUAGCCUAGGGGUGGCUUUUGAACCGAAAACCGAAAAACCAAACCGAACUGAACCAUAUUAACCAAUUUAUCUAUUAAUUCGGUAAUAUGAUUUUUUGUUCGGUGGGAAAUUUUAAGGUUGUUCGGUGUUUGGUUUUUUUCGGUUUCCAGUGUCCAAAAACCGAAUACACCGAAAAGACCGAUAUGUACGAUACCCCAUGCAAUACCUUGUUUUCGAAAGUGCAGCGGGGGCGCGUCCUUUGGCAAAUACUUGUUGGUUGUGGCAGACGUCAGGCCAGCCGCUAGAUGAGUUUCUAAUCUCACAAUCUAACUAGUACUCGUAGGAGUAUGUAUGCAUGCCAGGCGCUUGGUUAUGGAAGUAACUAGCAAUUAGUGUAUCAAUUAGUGCAUGAGUUGCUUAGUUUACACGCAUCACACAUAUUCUUCCGUACAUAAUACAUGUAACGCCCCAUGUGAUUUUACACUUAGUUAUGUUCACUAGUUUGCUUGACUGAAUAAAGCACAGACUGAUGUUAAGGUUGCUAGCUCUUGUGAUAUAUACUGAUGAGUGCAUGUAUUUUGGUUUUUCGGUUAACCGAAUAAACUGAACCGAUAUAUUAUAGUUAAUAUGGUUCGGUUUCUAAAUAUUGUGUGAUUAAUUCGGUUUCCAUUUCUUCAAAACCGAAAUUAUAAAACACCGAAUAAACCGAACCGUAUUAAUCAUAUAAACCGAAUGCCCAGCCCUAUUAGCCCACCUCUGUGUACAAAUCUUAGUCUUGGUAAAAAAACAUUUGUACAGUGCUCCUUUAAAUUUUACUUCUCUAUUAACCUGAUUUUCUUUACUGUAAUUGCUCAUCUCCUAUUGUUAUUUUGUAGAUUACCAAGAUAAAUUGAGGAUGCAUGACUCAGAUUUUGAUUGAAAGGCUAAGAAGAUUUUGUUUCCAAGGCAAACAGUUGGGCUACUACAAGACAACUAGAAUGUAACUUUAAGUAUCAAUGUUUCAAACAUUAUAGUUUGACUGUGUUCUUUGUAAUGCCACAUAUUUGAUUUAAUAUAUGAGACUUGUUUGUUUA